GCUGGGAUAGCUCAUUUGGUAGAGAAUGAGGCUCUCAAUUUCAGGUUUGUGGGUUCGAGCCCCACACUGGGUG